UUUUUUUUUUUUUUUUUUUUUUCCCUUUUUAGGGCUGUACAUACUGCAUUAGAAGUUCCGGGGCUAGGGAUCGAAUCUGAGCUGUAGCUGCCAGCCUCACUGCAGUCACAACAAGGUGGGAUCCGAGCCAUGUCUGCAACCUACACCACAGCCCACAGCAACGCAGGAUCCUUAACCCACUGAGUCAGGCCAGGGAUCAAACCUGCAUCCUCGUGGAUACUAGUCGGGUUCUUAACCCACUGGAGCCACAACAGGAGUUCCUCCACAAGAGUGUUUAAUGUGUACAGCCAAUUUAACAGCUUGCAUCCUGAUGCUGGAUGUGACAUUCAAGGAAACACAGGUCACGCCAACUAAGGGCGAGUUUUAAACUUUGCAGUGAAUCUGAAACACGUGUGGCUUCCGUGGGCUAUUAUACUUUUGCUUUCAGUGAGAGAGACUUUUCACGUAAGAGGCCAUCUCCAACACCAAGGCCCUGAUGACCCACAUCAUGAAACACCAUAUAAUUCUUUUAUCUAUUGGCUGACCUCUCCCUCUGCCACGUGGAAACUCAAGGUCUCAAAUGGCAAAGUCAUCGGCUGAGUGUAGGACAUGGCUACAAUGGGUAGGAGUCCUACGAUGCUCACUGAGUCAUAGAAUUAGGAUUAGAAGAUUGGAAAAUAGUCAUCAACCAGACGGGAUUUCCUGAGGAGCCCAAGUCCCUGAGCAGAUGAUCUUGAGUAUCGCGGUGAGGUGUCAGGAAAUUCAUGAAUCUGAGUGGCUCUCUGCAAAGCCUGGGGAGGGGGGGGUGAGGGGCUGGAAGGAGGUGGAAAAUGGAAGGGAGGGACGUCUGUCUGCAGCAGUUAAGGCCCCAAAAGAUCCCUUCAGUAAAGCAUCAGCAGAGGCUGAAUGGGGUAUCAGUCAAGGCCCUCACCCAUGAGAAGAUGCUCAAUAGUCUCACUGAGCGUCUACGGUUCUAUAGAGAAGAAGUAAAAAACCUCUGGGAGUUCCUGUCGUGGCUCAGCGGUUAACAAAUCCAACUAGGAACCAUGAGGUUGCAGGUUCGAUCCCUGGCCUUGCUCAGUGGGGUUAAGGAUCCGGCGUUGCUGUGAGCUGUGGUGUAGAUCACAGACACGGCUCGGAUCCUGUGUUGCUGUGGCUCUGGCAUAGGCUGGCAGCUGCAGCUCCAAUGAGACCCCUAGCCUGGGAACCUCCAUAUGCUGAGGGAGUGGCCCUAGAAAAGGCAAAAAGACAAAAAAAGAAGUAAAAAACCCCAGAAGGCCUAAAUUCGAGCUAUAAUUGCUGCCUCUCCCCCACCCCAAACCCAACCUAGGAAACAAUAAGAAACAUUGAGAGAUGUUUGUUAUAAACUUGUUUAUCCAGAGUUCCCGUAGUGGCUCAGUGGUUAACGAACCUGACUGGCAUCGAUGAGGACACAGGUUCGAUCCCUGGCCUCCCUCAGUGUUGCCGUGACCUAUGGUAUACGUUGCAGACAUGGCUUGGAUCCCGCGUUGCUAUGGCUGUGGUGUAGGCCAGUGGCUACAGCUCGGAUUUGACUCCUAGCCUAGGAACCUCCACAUGCUGAGGGUGUGGCCCUUUUCAGACAAAAGACAAAAUAAAUAAAUAAAAAUAAAUAAAUUUAUUCAUCCAUGCAUCACAGGGUCUAUUUGAAGAAUUCUUAGUGACCUUUUAAUAUUUCAAUAAGAGUAUCAAAGAGCAGCUAUUUGUUAUUCGAAUUUUAGCUACCACUUACCGAACACCCUGUGUAUUUUCCCUCCCUCUAAUUCUCCUGACAUUUGACAUGCAAAGGACAAAGGGUCAGAGAGCGUGAGGAAUCUGGUAAGGCUAGACAGUUCCCAAGUGGCAGAGCUGGGUUUUUAAGUCUGCCCUCAAAGCCUGUGCCAUUAAUUACCCACUGGAUCUGCCCUCUUCCAUUUGUGUAAGGGUCAAAUUCAGUGUUCAAAAGAUCUGAGGGAAUUCCCAUCAUGGCACAGAGGAAAUGAAUCCGACUAGGAACCAUGAGUCUUAAUUUUUGAUAUAAAAUAAUGUUAUUGUAACGUAUUUGGAAAAUGUAGAGGCUUUUAAAAAAGGAGAAAAUGAAAGUCAUCUGAUCUGCUACUACCCCGAAAUAACAAUGGUUAAUGUUGUGAUAGAUGUAUUUCCAUAAAAUUUUCUGUGCUUAUUUUUUAUAGAAUUGGGAUCAUGCAAAACCUUCAGUUUUCUAUCUUGUAUUUUAAAAAAAUUCAAUCUUAGAGCAUUUACCAUUGUAUGGAUGUGCCAUCAUUUUAAAACCAUUCUCCUGUUGCUAAAUUUUAGUUUAUCUCCUCUUUAUUUAUUUUGCUAUUUUCACAGCAAUGAUUAUAUUUUACUCCUAAAUCUUUGUCCAAUGCUGUUUUGCUAUUUCUUUAAAAUAUAUGCUUAGAGGGAAAUUGUUAUGUCAAAAUACAUGGGCAUUUUUUAUGACUCGCUGUAUUAUCAAAUGGUUUUUCAGAAAGAUUGUACCAAUUUGCAAUCCUCAGGCAGUGAUUCACUGCGCAUUUUCCCCUAUUGAGUAUGAUCUUCUUCUUUUCACUCACGUGGCCCAUUUGAGAGAUAAAAGCAAUAUCUCACUGUUGUUUUCAUUUGCAUGUCUUAGCCCAAAGAGCUCUUAAACAAGAUUUCUUCCUUAAGAUGUGUAAUUUGUUUCUAAGCCUCCUGAUUAAAAAGGCAGCAGAGAGAAACAAAUUGAUGAGGACAGAUUAUGAAAAUGAACUCAGAUUAAAAUUUAGUUCCAUAAAACCAUCGGAGAGUCUUACGAAUAUGGACAGAGAGAAAGAAGCUGUUCACUUAUGAUAAGUAUUGCAGGGGAAGAAUCUCCUAUUCAGUGGCUAUUAAUCCUUCAGGCCAUUUUCUGCAGUCUCUGCUGUUCCCCAACCCAUCGCAGAAGCUGGGGUAAAAUACAGAUGCAUCAAUUUCCUCUGAUUCCUCAUGUAUAUCUCAUUAUCAUAAUCCAACAUAUCCGCUUUUACCUAGGGUGGUGUAUUCCACAGCAACAAGCUAAAACUCUUUCCUAAAUAUUUGUAUUGAAGGUUGAAUGAUACCGGAAUAAGAAUAAAGCUGCCAUGUCCUAAGAGCCAGGCAUCACGCCAGGUGAUUUACAUACACAGUGAACUCUUUCGACACUGCAUGGAGGCAACUACUGGACCCAUUUCACUGAUGAGAAAACUGAGGUUCAGAGAGGUUUUGCUGUACCCAUGCAGCUAUUAAAUGAAUAAUCUGAAACUCACAUCUGGCUGUCUGGUAGGAAAGCCAAGGCUCUCGCCCCCAAAUCUCACUCUUUCAGAUGUCACUUGAUAUUAAUAUUCUGUGUGACAAUGUAUUAUCACUACGUUUCAAAUGCAAGAAAGGAAAGGGUGGGAAAGAUUAGAGAAAUGACAGAGGACUUCCUGGAAGCUGGAUCAUUAGAACUGGUCUUAGAAAAUAGCCCAUGUUUUAAUUAGCAGACAGGGGGAAGAUGGACUAUGAUGAUAAUAUAGCAUCAUGACUGUGAUGAAAAUUAUAUAUCAUGACUAUGAUGAUAAUGUAUGAUGACUAUGAUGAUAACAUAUCAUCAUAUAAUAUCAUAGUGUAAUAUAGCUGUUUCACAGUAUCUCAACAAAAUACCUUAAAUACUGAAGCUGAUGAAAGUCUUAGUAUUACGAUUAGAUCAGAAAGAAUAGCCUGAGCUUUUAAAGCAAACACUUCAAGCAUCCUUCUCUCUGACCUUUCCAACAAUUCUUCCAUUUCAUUCUACCUUUCAAUCAUCAAGGCUUUUCCACUCUCCAGAAUCAAACUUUCUUCAAUUCCUUACACACUUGGGGUUCUCUAUCCCACCACUGUGGUCAGUGCCUGGUCAACACCCUCAAUGACUGCGGGAUCUCUUAUCCCGCAUUCUAAUCUGACCAGCCUUAGGUUCCCCAAUACAUCCGCCUCCUCUGUACCAGCACCCUGGCAACUAGAGGAAAUGACCAUUUCACCAACUGCUCUCACGUUACAUUCCUAACCAAAAAAAAAAAAAAAAAA
rnacentral:lncRNA from 1 species